GACGAACGCUGGCGGCGUGCCUAAUACAUGCAAGUCGAACGCAGUGGGGACGGGUGAGUAACACGUGGGUUACCUCACAUCUGAGGGGAUAAGACUUGGAAACAGGUGCUAAACCGAUACGGAUGGAUGGAACCGCGGUGCAUUAGCUAGUUGUUGAGGUAACGGCUCACCAAGGCCACGAUGCAUAGCCGACCUUGGAGGUGGACCGGACAACCUGAGACGGAGACACGGCCCAGAGUUUUACGGUAGGCAGCAGUAGCGAAUCUGUGGCAAUGGAGGAAAGUCUGACCAAGCCAUGCUGAUUGUGUUGAGAAGUUUGUCGGAACGUAGAUUCCUGUUAUUGGACAAGCGGUACCGAAUCAGAAAGCGCCGGCAAUCUACGUGCCAGCAGCCGCGGUAAUAC
rnacentral:rRNA from 1 species